rnacentral:rRNA from 1 species
UUUUAACGAGAGUUUGAUCCUGGCUCAGGAUGAACGCUGGCGGCGUGCUUAACACAUGCAAGUCGAACGAAGCAUAUAAAAUGGAGUCUUCGGACAAAGUUUUAUAUGACUUAGUGGCGGACGGGUGAGUAACGCGUGAGUAACCUGCCUUACACAGGGGGAUAACAGUCAGAAAUGACUGCUAAUACCGCAUAAGCGCACAAGGUCGCAUGGU